rnacentral:tRNA from 1 species
UCCGCCGUAGUGUAAUGGCAGCACAACUGAUUUUGGUUCAGUUUGUCCAGGUUCGAGUCCUGGCGGCGGAGCAA